AAUCAACGCUGGCGGCGUGCCUAACACAUGCAAGUCGAACGAGAAAGUGGAGCAAUCCAUGAGUACAGUGACGACCGGGUGAGUAACACGUGACUACCUGCCCUUGAGUGGGGGAUAACUUCGGGAAACCGAGGCUAAUACCGCAUAACAUCGCAAGAUCAAAGGAGCAAUCCGCUGAAGGAGGGGGUCGCGGCUGAUUAGUUAGUUGGUGAGGUAACGGCUCACCAAGACGAAGAUCAGUAGCCGGCCUGAGAGGGCGCACGGCCACACUGGAACUGAAACACGGUCCAGACUCCUACGGGAGGCAGCAGUGGGGAAUUUUGCGCAAUGGGGGAAACCCUGACGCAGCAACGCCGCGUGGAGGAUGAAGUCCCUUGGGAUGUAAACUCCUUUCGAUCGGGACGAUUAUGACGGUACCGGAAGAAGAAGCACCGGCUAACUCUGUGCCAGCCGCCGCCGUAAUAC
rnacentral:rRNA from 1 species